rnacentral:rRNA from 1 species
UACGGAGGGGGCUAGCGUUGUUCGGAAUUACUGGGCGUAAAGCGCACGUAGGCGGCUUGGUAAGUUAGAGGUGAAAGCCUGGAGCUCAACUCCAGAAUUGCCUUUAAGACUGCCGAGCUAGCAGGUGAGAGAGGUGAGUGGAAUUCCGAGUGUAGAGGUGAAAUUCGUAGAUAUUCGGAGGAACACCAGUGGCGAAGGCGGCUCACUGGCUCGAUACUGACGCUGAGGUGCGAAAGCGUGGGGAGCAAACAGG